rnacentral:rRNA from 1 species
UUAGCGGCGGACGGGUGAGUAACACGUGGAUAACCUACCUAUAAGACUGGGAUAACUUCGGGAAACCGGAGCUAAUACCGGAUAAUAUUUUGAACCGCAUGGUUCAAAAGUGAAAGACGGUCUUGCUGUCACUUAUAGAUGGAUCCGCGCUGCAUUAGCUAGUUGGUAAGGUAACGGCUUACCAAGGCAACGAUGCAUAGCCGACCUGAGAGGGUGAUCGGCCACACUGGAACUGAGACACGGUCCAGACUCCUACGGGAGGCAGCAGUAGGGAAUCUUCCGCAAUGGGCGAAAGCCUGACGGAGCAACGCCGCGUGAGUGAUGAAGGUCUUCGGAUCGUAAAACUCUGUUAUUAGGGAAGAACAUAUGUGUAAGUAACUGUGCACAUCUUGACGGUACCUAAUCAGAAAGCCACGGCUAACUACGUGCCAGCAGCCGC